CUUGCUGUGUAGCCAAAGAUGACCUGCCUCCCAAAUGUUGGCAUUACAUGCCUGUGCCACUGCUCUCUGCUCUCACUGUGACCCUUUUGAAGGUUGCAGUUCAGUCCUUGGUUCACU
rnacentral:miRNA from 1 species